rnacentral:rRNA from 1 species
CACGUAGGGCGCAAGCGUUGUCCGGAAUUAUUGGGCGUAAAGAGCUCGUAGGCGGUCUGUUGCGUCCGCUGUGAAAACUCGGGGCUUAACCCCGAGCCUGCAGUGGAUACGGGCAGACUAGAGGUAGGUAGGGGAGAAUGGAAUUCCCGGUGUAGCGGUGAAAUGCGCAGAUAUCGGGAGGAACACCAAUGGCGAAGGCAGCUCGCUGGGACGGUACUGACGCUGAGACGCGAAAGCGUGGGGAGCAAACAGG